UACGUAGGGUGCAAGCGUUGUCCGGAAUUAUUGGGCGUAAAGAGCUCGUAGGCGGUUCGUCGCGUCGGCUGUGAAAUCCCGAGGCUCAACCUCGGUCUGCAGUCGAUACUGGAUGGCUUGAGUUUGGGAGAGGAUGCGGAAUUCCAGGUGUAGCGGUGAAAUGCGUAGAUAUCGGAAGGAACACCGGUGGCGAAAGCGGCGCGCUGGACUCUCUUCUGACGCUGAGGCGCGAAAGCCAGGGAGCGAACGGGAU
rnacentral:rRNA from 1 species